AUUGAACGCUGGCGGAAUGUUUUACACAUGCAAGUCGAACGGCAGCGCGGGUGCUUGCACCUGGCGGCGAGUGGCGAACGGGUGAGUAAUACAUCGGAACGUGCCUAGUAGUGGGGGAUAACUACUCGAAAGAGUGGCUAAUACCGCAUGAGAUCUACGGAUGAAAGCAGGGGAUCGCAAGACCUUGUGCUACUAGAGCGGCCGAUGGCAGAUUAGCUAGUUGGUGGGGUAAAGGCCUACCAAGGCGACGAUCAGUAGCUGGUCUGAGAGGACGAUCAGCCACACUGGGACUGAGACACGGCCCAGACUCCUACGGGAGGCAGCAGUGGGGAAUUUUGGACAAUGGGCGAAAGCCUGAUCCAGCAAUGCCGCGUGCAGGAUGAAGGCCCUCGGGUUGUAAACUGCUUUUGUACGGAACGAAAAGCUUCGGGUUAAUACCCUGGAGUCAUGACGGUACCGUAAGAAUAAGCACCGGCUAACUACGUGCCAGCCGCCGCAGUAA
rnacentral:rRNA from 1 species